UACAUUUUGGUGUAUGGUGCACAAAAAUUUUUGAUAUUUUAGGUAAUGAGUUUGAUUCUAUUAAAUGUAA
rnacentral:tRNA from 1 species